rnacentral:rRNA from 1 species
GCGCACGGGUGAGUAAUACAUGGAUAAUCUACCUUUUAGUGGGGGAUAACCAGUCGAAAGAUUGGCUAAUACCGCAUAAGACCACAGGAACUUCGGUUCUAGGGGUCAAAGGCUUCGGUCGCUGAUUGAUGAGUUCAUGCAAGAUUAGCUUGUUGGUGGGGUAAAGGCCUACCAAGGCGAUGAUCUUUAGCAGGUCUGAGAGGACGGCCUGCCACACUGGAACUGAGACACGGUCCAGACUCC